rnacentral:rRNA from 1 species
GACAGAGGUGCCAAGCGUUAGGCGGAAUCACUGGGCUUAAAGCGUGUGUAGGCGGAUAUCUAAGUACCUCGUGAAAUCCCACGGCUCAACCGUGGAACUGCUUGGUAUACUGGGUGUCUUGAGCCAUCUAGGGGCUACCGGAACAAAUGGUGGAGCGGUGAAAUGCGUAGAUAUCAUUUGGAACGCCAAUGGUGAAAACAGGUAGCUGGGGAUGUGCUGACGCUGAGACACGAAAGCCAGGGGAGCAAACGGG